CACGUAGGGCGCAAGCGUUGUCCGGAAUUAUUGGGCGUAAAGAGCUCGUAGGUGGUUCGGUAAGUCGGGUGUGAAACCUCCAGGCUCAACCUGGAGACGCCACCCGAUACUGCUGUGACUGGAGUCCGGUAGGGGAGCGUGGAAUUCCUGGUGUAGCGGUGAAAUGCGCAGAUAUCAGGAGGAACACCAGCGGCGAAGGCGGCGCUCUGGGCCGGUACUGACACUGAGGAGCGAAAGCGUGGGUAGCAAACAGG
rnacentral:rRNA from 1 species